AGCUCCAAUAGCGUAUAUUAAAGUUGUUGCAGUUAAAAAGCUCGUAGUUGAAUUUCUGUCAUACUCCGUUGAACGGUGCAAUACUGUACACGGACCUCGGAGUUGACAACCUUUCGGGUUGCGCGGCCUACAUGUAGACGUGUAAUUCCGGACUGUUACUUUGAGAAAAUUAGAGUGUUUCAAGCAGGCAUAAGCCUUGAAUACUACAGCAUGGAAUAAUAAGAUAGGACUUUGGUUCUUUCUUGUUGGUUCGGAGAACUAAGGUAAUGAUUAACAGGGACAGUCGGGGGCAUUCGUAUUUAACAGUCAGAGGUGAAAUUCUUAGAUUUGUUAAAGACGAACUACUGCGAAAGCAUUUGCCAAGGAUGUGCCCA
rnacentral:rRNA from 1 species